rnacentral:misc_RNA from 1 species
AAGGAUCAUUAACGAGUUUUGAAACGAGUUGUAGCUGGCCUUCCGAGGCAUGUGCACGCUCUGCUCAUCCACUCUACCCCUGUGCACUUACUGUAGGUUGGCGUGGGCUCCUUUGCGGGAGCAUUCUGCCGGCCUAUGUAUACUACAAACACUUUAAAGUAUCAGAAUGUAAACGCGUCUAACGCAUCUAUA